GAUGAACGCUGGCGGCGUGCCUAAUACAUGCAAGUCGAGCGAACAGAUGAGGAGCUUGCUCCUCUGACGUUAGCGGCGGACGGGUGAGUAACACGUGGAUAACCUACCUAUAAGACUGGGAUAAUCUCGGGAAACCGGAGCUAAUACCGGAUAAUAUAUUGAACCGCAUGGUUGAAUAGUGAAAGACGGUUUUGCUGUCACUUAUAGAUGGAUCCGCGCCGCAUUAGCUAGUUGGUAAGGUAACGGCUUACCAAGGCAACGAUGCGUAGCCGACCGGAGAGGGUGAUCGCCCACACUAGAACUGGGACACGGUCCAGACUCCUACGGGAGGCAGCAGUAGGGAAUCUUCCGCAAUGGGCGAAAGCCUGACGGAGCGACGCCGCGUGAGUGAUGAAGGUCUUCGGAUCGUAAAGCUCUGUUAUUAGGGAAGAACAAAUGUGUAAGUAACUAUGCACGUCUUGACGGUACCUAGUCAGAAAGCCACGGCUAACUACGUG
rnacentral:rRNA from 1 species